rnacentral:lncRNA from 1 species
CCUGCCCUAGGAAGUGUGGAGGGGCCACCCCAGGUCCACCUACUCCACUGGAGUGUCAGAGGAAGAAAGCGCUUCCUUCAACUGGCCUCUGACCCACCACCUUCCAGCUCCAAGGGUCUCACUCUGUUGUUCAGGCCAAAGUGAAGUGGUGUGAUCACGGUUCACUGCAACCUCAAACUCCUGGGCUCAAUCGAGCCUCCCACCUUAGCCACCCAAAGUACUGGAAUUACAGGCUUGAGCCACAGUAGCUGGUAAGAAUAAUUUUUCAUAUAUUAACUUCUGUGUUUUUCCUUAGAGUUCUCUCUUUCUUCUUCUCCUUAUAAGAAUGCACCCAGGCAUUCUGCUUGUCUCAGGAGGUUGUUGGCAGAGUGGAAAGCAGAAGUUGUCUGCAAGACAUUUCCUUCCUGUCUUUUAUUUCCAAAACACUAUGCUCAGUGAGGAACCUGUCUCAGUCAAGGGGGAGAGGGCCAGGGAGAAGGCAUAUCUUUGAGGGAAUCUGGAAAGCAGAGAAGGAUUUUCUCUAGAAUAAGAAUCAAGUAUCCCCGACCUGGAGUUGGAAGGAGGUGGUCCUAUGCCCUCCUGUCUGGCAGCUCCCAGGGGAGGUGAUUCAACCUUAGAAAAAUAGCUUUGUUAUUCCCAGCUUCUGCAUCUCUUUCUCUGUGAGGACAGAGAAUAGCUAGCAUUUUCUGUACCAUCACUGUGUGCCCAGCUCUUCUAGUAAUUCAACUUCUAUCAUUAACACCAGUUUACAGAGGAAGGAACUACGGCACAGAGAUGUUGGGUAACUUGCCUCAGAUCUCACAACUCGUCAGCAGUGUUGAUAGAAUUUGCCUCCAGCCCUCCUUGACUCCUAAACCCAUAUUUUUUUCUUCUCUUUCUAAAAAAGUUAUUAUUUAGCCAUCAAAUGAAUGAACCAAAACUAUUUUUUUUAAUUUAUUUUUAGUAGAGAUGGGGUUUUGCCAUGUUGCCCAGGCUGGUCUCGAAAUACUGGCCUCAAAUGAUCCGCCCACCUCAGCCUCCCAAAGUGCUGGGAUUACAGGCAUGAGCCACCAGGCCCAGCAUAAACCUGUAUUUUUAACUACCUCCCACCACCUUCCCUCAAUUGCCCUACUGCCCUACCCCAGUCGAUGUAUUUUUUCUUAUGCCUCUAGUCCACCUUGCACAGAUCACAAUUAUAGUACUUAUUAUACACAUAGUAGGUGCUGAGUAAAUACGUGAUGAAAAAUAAGUGAAGAUUUCUAUUUCAUCUGAUAGGCUCAGCUGGGUGUCUAGACCAACUUUCCCUCACUGAAAACAAAAACAAAAAUACUGGGCAAAAUAAUAAAAAUAUAUUCUGGAAGGCAUCUAUAAACUGGCAAGAAAUUAAGAAAUUGCCCCAGGACAGGGUGAAGGUCAGAACCCAGAGAGGUAAGCCGAGCCCAAAGUCAGCAUAUGCCUGGAGGAUUUUUGCUGAAUCUAGUGAGUUUGAACGUUGAUUUUUGAAGCCUUGGGAGUUUUGUGCAGCAGAAGUAAAGGUUAGCAUGUACUUUAAGUAGGGAGAUUAAUAGAAGACCCAAUAAAUACAGAAUUGCAAAAGCAAAAUAGUAGAAUAAGAAAAAAAAUUACUUCUCAAGCCGACCCAGAAACCUCACUAAAGCUGGUAACAUAUGAACAUAUAAAACACAUAUAGGCCGGGUGCAGUGGCUCACACCUGUAAUCCCAGCACUUUGGGAGGCCGAGACAGGCCGAUCACUUGAGGUCAGGAGUUCGAGGCUAGCCUGGCCAACAUGGUGAAACCCGUCUCUACUAAAAACACAAAAAUUAGCCAGGUGUGGUGGCGCACAACUGUAGUCCCAGCUACUCAGGAGGCUGAGGUAGGAGAAUCACUUGAACCCAAGACACAGAGGCAGUGAGCCAAGAUGGGGCCACUGCACUCCAGCCUGAGCAACAGAGCUAGACUUCAUCUCAAAAACUAAAUAAAUAAAUAAAUAAAAUAAAUAAAGCAAGUCUUAACAAAUCUGAAAAUUUUGAAUGCAUUGGCCAGACGCAGUGGCUCACAACUGUAAUCCCAGCACUUCAGGAAACCAAAUCAGGAAGAUAGCUUGAGCUUGGGAGGAUUGCUUGAGCUCAGGAGUUUGAGACCAGCCUGAGCAACAUAGAGAGACCUCAUCUCUACUAAAAAUGUAAUAAAUUAGCUGGCUGUGGUAGCGUGUGCCUGUAGUCCCAGCUACUCGGGAAGAUGAGGUGGGAGGAUUGAUUGAGCCUAAGAGGUCAAGGUCGCAGUGAGCCCAGAUUGUACCACUGCACUCCAGCCUGGGCAAUAGAGCACGACCCUGUCUCAAGAAGAAUGAAAGAGAGAGAGAAAAGAAAGAAAGGAAAAUGUUUAUCAUACAGACUAUAUCCUCUGAACACAAUGCAAUUAAGACAAGAAUCGGCCGGGCCCAGUGGCUCACGCCUGUAAUCCCAGCACUUUGGGAGGCCGAGGCGGGCAGAUCACGAGGUCAGGAGAUCGAGACUAUCCUGGCUAACACGGUGAAAUCUCGUCUCUACUAAAAAUACCAAAAAAAAAAAAAAUUAGCCGGGCAUGGUGGCAGGCGCCUGUAGUCCCGCUACUUGGGAGGCUGAGGCAGAAGAAUGGUGUGAACCCA